UACGAAGGGGGCUAGCGUUGCUCGGAAUUACUGGGCGUAAAGGGCGCGUAGGCGGCGCAGUUAGUCAGGCGUGAAAUUCCUGGGCUCAACCUGGGGACUGCGCUUGAUACGGCUGUGCUAGAGGAUGGAAGAGGCUCGCGGAAUUCCCAGUGUAGAGGUGAAAUUCGUAGAUAUUGGGAAGAACACCGGUGGCGAAGGCGGCGAGCUGGUCCAUUACUGACGCUGAGGCGCGACAGCGUGGGGAG
rnacentral:rRNA from 1 species